GGCUGUGGCAUCUUUUUUCUAUGAUGGAACAUCUAAAGUAGGUCAGCUGAACACUUCUGAAGGAAAAUCAGUGUGAAGCACAGCGUGCUCGCUAUCAGAAACUGUUGGGCGAUUUCCAUAUAUGCUGUGUGCUGGCGUGGCCCUGCUGCAUGCGCCGCUCGCUGUGAAUACUGAUUUGGAAUCCUACAUCAGCUGAAGUGCGAAUUCACCGAUUCUCUGGAAUCUGAUAGUGGGAGGAGAAUUAAAUGAAACUGUGUAACCUCUAAACGACCCCUGAGGUUUGAGAAGUCUCAAGGCGAGAGCGAAUGAGAAAGAGGAAACAUUGAAAGUGGGAGUGUCUUGUUUAACUGAAAGUGAGAAUGAUGGUAUUAAAAGGAAGUAGAACAAUUGUAGCCAUGGAGACCAGCUCGAAGGAUGGGGUGCUAUUGUUUGAAAGAAGGACAUGGAGGGAACAAAAGAUCAAACCCGUUGUAGCGAUUGGAUUGACUCAAUGGAUUG